rnacentral:rRNA from 1 species
GACGUAGGGCGCGAGCGUUGUCCGGAUUUAUUGGGCGUAAAGAGCUCGUAGGCGGCUUGUUGCGUCAGCUGUGAAAACCCGCAGCUCAACUGUGGGCUUGCAGCUGAUACGGGCAGGCUUGAGUUCGGUAGGGGAGACUGGAAUUCCAGGUGUAGCGGUGAAAUGCGUAGAUAUCUGGAGGAACACCGGUGGCGAAGGCGGCGUUCUGGACUGCUACUGACACUGAGGAACGAAAGCCAGGGGAGCAAACGGG